UCCCGUCUCACUCCCGUUCCGCCUCGGCGGAGUCGAGGCAAAGUUCAAGGCCGCCAGGCAGCCUCUAAUCUACCGGGGGGGGGAAGGAGUGACACGCUGUAGAAUCAUGCAAAUACACCUGCAUGAAAAAUUCAGCAACCAAACGACAAGCCUCGCUCGGCGUGUCGACGCUGACAGGGGGAGGAAGCGAGGCACGUCCCGGGGAAAAAAAACAUGGCCCUCCGCGGAGGGUUGUGAAAGCGCCGUCUCCGCCUGCCGCCUCAGGUAAGCGGGGAUAGCGCCUGACUUAAUGCGGCCCGGCUUCGAUGCCGGGGGGCGGAAAAGAGCCCGAGAGCCAGGGGAGACGGCGGCAGACGCUAAAGAGCCACCGCUCCCCGGCGUUUAAGGAACACUGGUUGUACAAACGCCGGCUGGGACGCGUUUAUCUGAACAUCAGCCCCGCUGGCGGCGGCGGAAACAGGCUCCGACACGACGCCGCUCUGAACGCAGCCACUUUGUAGUCGCUCGGCUGGGAACCUGACGUUUCCGUUCACCCCGAUGUCCCUCUCGACGACGCCUCCCGCCGCAGUCUGUGGGAGAAUCAUCAGCCGCUCGACCUCAAGCGGGAGCCGUCCUCAUGCCGGAUCCUGUGAGACCUUGGCCUGCCUUACAAAAAACCCCAGGACAGAGAAACCAUUGAUUACCGCUCCCGUUCCCUCGGCUCAGCCUUCACAAAAUCCGGGCCCCUAAAUCGGACAAUUCCAGCUCCAGACCUCCCCUCGCUCCCUGCCUUCGCUAUCAUGUGCAUGUUCCCGUAUGCAUGUGAUGUCGCUGACCUCCCAUAAGUCCCCGCUUCGCAUGCUGUGCGCGCACAAGCCCCCUUGUUCGUGUCCUAACCCCGGCGCCGAUGAGAUGCGGCGGGCCUCUGUUUGACUCCCAUCUCGUGACCUUCUGGUCCUUUCCUCAACAGACGGGAGCCCUCAUAAUGGAGGAAUUGAUCCACGCCAGACCCGCCUCCUGGACGUGCGCGUGUUUGUGCGCAUCCGCCGCCCCCCCCCCGGGUCUCGAGGCCGCGCUCACUCCGGACGCGCUUCGUCCACGUCGCGUGCCGUCCACAACCCGUCAGCCUCCUGCAGGACGUGUGGGAACCGGGAACCAGACUCGUUCUCUUCAGCUGCUGCCGGAGAGUGCGGCCUUUCCUCGGCGGGAGGGUAAAUUAAGGUUAUGAGGUCGUGUUUAAGUUCAUAUUUCCCUCGAGUGUGAGAGAGGAGAGCAAGGACAUGGGACAUUGAUCGCCCUGAGUAAAUGUUGUCCACUUGGAAAACAGGGCUUAGAUGAGAAAGGUAUUUGUCUUACAACCAGCGCCCGGGCCUCAUCUCUGGCAGGUAUUAGAGAAAUGUCUUGGUUUCUUAAUUGGUGGGUUUAUUCUGUGAAAUUUGAUGAGCUUGACGUCAUGGCAACACAAACCCCAUCGAAAGAAAUAAUGCAAAGCUACAGUAAGUGUGGUAUUUGUCUAGUAUCACAAAUGUCACAUCACCGGUGGUAGUAAUAAAGAAAUACCCGCGGCGCUAUUAACUCCUUCCUGAUUGGUUAAGAGAACUUAUGAGAACAAUAUGAGUCAGUCCUUUGAAAAGUCACUGGGGUUCUUAGGGAGUGACCUUUCGGAACCUCUCCGCUCUUCGGCAGUGACUGGAACUUAAUGAACAGGGGCACCUCUGCGGAUCCGAUGGAUCCACGGGAGCGGUGCUGCAGCCGCCGACCGUCCCGGGAGGUGGAGCACUUCAGUGGCGGGUUCGAUAGCUCAUUAUCAGCGGCCCCGCGGGAUAAUUAGCGAGCAGUGGGAUUCUGUCACGGGGACAAAUAAACACACGCUCUCUUUCUUCAUCGAGCAAACGCGGCUGCAGCAGCGUCCGACCGACUCAGUGCGACAGGUUGCUGCUGAACUCAAUGCGGCGCCCGUCGUCUGCUGUGUUUGUCACAAUAAAUAUUUUAUGAAAGUCGAAUUAAAAA